rnacentral:rRNA from 1 species
GACGAACGCUGGCGGCAUGCCUAAUACAUGCAAGUCGAGCGAACAGAUGAAGUGCUUGCACUUCUGACGUUAGCGGCGAACGGGUGAGUAACACGUAAGGAAUCUACCUAUAAGCGGGGGAUAACAUUCGGAAACGGGUGCUAAUACCGCAUAAUAUCUUCUUCCGCAUGGAAGAAGAUUGAAAGACGGCUCUGCUGUCACUUAUAGAUGACCUUGCGGUGCAUUAGUUAGUUGGUGGGGUAAUGGCCUACCAAGACGAUGAUGCAUAGCCGACCUGCGCGGGUGAUCGGCCACAUUGGGACUAAGACACGGCCCAAACUCCUACGGGAGGCAGCAGUAGGGAAUCUUCCGCAAUGGGCGAAAGCCUGACGGAGCAAUGCCGCGUGAGUGAAGAAGGCCUUCGGGUCGUAAAACUCUGUUUAAGAGAAGAACAAAUUGUAGAGUAACUGCUACAGUCUUGACGGUAUCUUAUCAGAAAGCCACGGCUAACUACGUGCCAGCCGCCGCAGUAA